rnacentral:rRNA from 1 species
UACGUAGGGGGCUAGCGUUGUCCGGAAUCAUUGGGCGUAAGGAGCGCGUAGGCGGCCAGAUAAGUCCGGUGUGAAAGUCAAAGGCUCAACCUUUGAAUGCCGCUGGAAACUGUCUGGCUAGAGUCCGGGAGGGGCGAGUGGAAUUCCUGGUGUAGCGGUGAAAUGCGCAGAUAUCAGGAGGAACACCGGUGGCGAAGGCGGGUCUCUGGGCAGUAACUGACGCUGAGGAGCGAAAGCGUGGGGAGCGAACAGG